AAAUGAGUCAGAGACAGAAUCAAGCUCAGAAUCAAAGUCUUUAAUACAAACGUUCACACGGAGAAACUUASUCCACAAAGUGCUGGACUCAGAAGUGUCAAGAUGAACAGGUGAGGCUGAGAAAAUCAGAGACUAAACACUGAGAGGAGAAAACAACAAGACACAGGUGAGGACAGGUGAGGACAGGUGAGGGGGACCAGUCAAAACAGGAGGUGGAGGAAGUAGUGACCUGAAAUAGGACAAAAUGUGAGUUUCAAAAUAAAACAGGAAACGAGGCAACAUGCAGAAUAAAAUGAUCGCUAAACUAAAGAUGUGACAUYGAUUUGUGUCAAUCAGUAGAACUUGUCUCGACACACAAACCGCCGCAGUGUGCACGAGAGGUCCAGGCCCGAUGAAGCCAACAGAAGCACAUCAUCUGCAGAAAGCACUAAGAAGACAAAUAAUACAAACGGUCUGAGUCUGUUAUUGAUUGAU